GAAUCAGAGUUCACUUGCCCUUAAAUUACUUUAACAUGGCAGGAUUAAUCAUUAAUCAUUCAUCAUUAAUGGAUGAAUUUAAUAAUUUCAUUGACCAACUGAAAUCAAUUUAACAUGUCUAAUGUCUUCAAGUUUAAGAAUCAAGAUGCAACAAAUAGACAAAGAAAUCAAUUUAAAUCUCACACCCAAAACAUCGUAAGAAAACAAAUUGAUAGAAAUUAGAUAAUAAUUAACAAAAGCACGGAAGGCUGAAGCAGAAUACCACUAUGCGAUCGGUCGGAUUUUGGAUAUCAAACAUUACAAGAAAAUAAAUUGAUAGAUAAUACAGUCAUAUAGAACUAACAGAAGUAGAAUGCUAGUAUCAGAAUCAGAUUCAUGCCUUGAUUGCUGUCAGCCAGUUGGAAUUUGGGAAAGAUAAAUGACUUAUCAAAUAGUACCAAGUACAAACGAGUCCGAUAAUAGAAGACCGCCACAGGAUGCUGUUAUUUUUCCUUUGUCCAUCGUUGAUAGGUUUUAGGAGUUGUUGCAGGGCCUUGAGUUGUAGUCUUGCAGACAGCAGACGUAAUCGUGGCGAUUGGCGUGGAGGACCAGCUGACUGCAGAAGACAAAUAGUUGAAAUUGGGUUUUCCAAACAAAAUAAAAAAGGUUGCAAGAUUUUCUUGGGGCCCCUUACAUGCUGGGCCUGAGGCAGAGGCCUCUUGGGCCUCUCCUUAGGUCUGGCUCUGCCUACCGCCUCAUUCAAUGAUGAUGUACAUGUAAAAAAAUUGAUCUAUGUUUAUUUCAAAUUCAUGCCUAACCAUUUCCUUUAUGUAAGAACAUCGAUGGUAAUUUUUUAUUGUAGCAUUCAAUUGAUUACUAAUUGUGGGCCGAUUUAGUAGUUCCCGAAUUGAAGAGGUUGUUGAAG
rnacentral:lncRNA from 1 species